rnacentral:rRNA from 1 species
CUCGUAGGCGGUUCGGUAAGUCGGGUGUGAAAACUCUGGGCUCAACCCAGAGCCGCCACCUGAUACUGCUGUGACUCGAGUGCGGUAGGGGAGCGGGGAAUUCCUGGUGUAGCGGUGAAAUGCGCAGAUAUCAGGAGGAACACCAGUGGCGAAGGCGCCGCUCUGGGCCGUGACUGACGCUGAGGAGCGAAAGCGUGGUAGCAAACA